GUCAGACAUAACAGCUUGCCAAAAGGUUUGCAGACUAAGCGGGUUUCAUCCUGUCAGGAGACAAGUUCACUUUAAAUGCAUGUACAGUAAUUCAGCAAAUACUUCUUAAGUCUCUCCUCUGUGCCAAGUACAUGAAAUCAAAGUGCAUCUCAAGUAGAUUGUCAGAGCUCAUUGACAAACUGCCGUAAAAUUGUGCAAAUCAAGUCACGAGGCCUGUCGCAUCAUCAGCAGGUGGACGGGUUACCCCAUCAGCAGGUGUUCAUCUUCCUUAACACCUGAUGUUCUGGAAGGGUCCAUAGUGAGGCACCCAAACCUUUGUAUCAGCCCUGCCGUUAGGAUAAGAAUCCAUUCUUUCUUAACACAAACUUUUCCCAUCGAGGCUUACAAUGGAGUCCUAGAAACGUAAACAUUGUUAUCACAUUUGUCAAAUUUUAAGAGUUUUUGAGAAGAGAAAAAAACUCACAUGUGACACACAUAGGCCUUAAGUUUCCAGGAAGCCCGGUGCUCAGAACCACCCCGCCUAACUACUUGGCAUGACAGAUGAAGGGGCAGGACAUUGCAAGAACAAGAGUAGCUCUGACUUCCCCUGAGUAGUUUUGGCAAGGGCCAGGCCUGCUGAGAAGACGAGGGCAGAGUCUCCAGUAUCGUCCCCACUCAGCAACUUGAUCUGUGCUCCUUGUGAUCUGACCCCCGGGUUUCUUCCCAGUUAGCAGUCUGAAAGUGGUUCAGAGCUAUCUGCAUAUGUCUUUGCCUGUUGGGUUCAUUACUCCACAGAGGCGUGAAGGGGAUACACAGUUUGGGGUCAACACUCAUGAUCUGAAAUCGCAGUACUGAUAAAGGGAACUCGGUGGGAAGAAAUCUGUCAGAACCUAGGGCCUUUGCCAGGUUGCUGGAUCUUCAGGUCUCACCUGUGCUGCCCCCUGGAGGAGGCAAGUAGGAAUUCAUAAAAAUCUAAACCUAACCAGAAACACCCCUCCCUGCGGUCAUUGCUUGAUUGCACCCCUAUGAACACAUCCAUACACAGGCCUGUGGGCUUUGGUGGGUGGGGGGCACACGAUUCCACUGCGCGUAGCCACAAGGAAGCAAGCAAGUGCUUUUGCAAACUUGCCUGCCCUGGGAGCUCUACCCUUUCUGCCCCAGCUAGAGCCAUGGGUGUGGGUCACCAGUGCCUUCUGCUGGUCACCGUGGGAAAUGGCUCAGCUGUGCUGGAGAUGGAGGGCGGCGGUUUCCCCGCAGAGAGCAGAAGUGAUGGAGUGCAGCCCUUGUGUUCAAGCCAGACUGAGCCCGGGCGUGAAUAAUUUUCCACAUUUGUAAACCGCAUCUCUCCUCUGGCAUGAGUUAAAUAAUGCAUCUUCACUGCACCUUCUAAACACUGCCUGGUGCAGCUGCUCUCCUCCCCAGCCAGAGCGGGCCCUCAAGCAGCUGGUAUCCUGGGAGCGCAUGGGAAAAUCCGAACCCCCACUCCCCAGCCCAUCACUUCUCUGUGGUGGGAACGCUGGCUUCCAUCUAGUUGCCUGGGGUAUCUGUGGAAACUUUGGGUAUUUGUGGAAUCGGAUUUCCUCAAAUCUCAUUAGAACAGAGUAGAACUGGGCACCUGGGGGCUCAGUGGGUUAAGCCUCUGCCUUCCACACAGGUCAUGAUCUCAGGGUCCUGGGAUUGAGGCUAUCUGCUCAGCAGGGAGCCUGCUUCCCCCUCUCUCUCUGCCUGCCUCUCUGCCUACUUGUGAUCUCUGUCAAAUAAAUAAACAAAAUCUUAAAAAAAAAAAAACCAAAAAAAAAACCAAAAAAAAAAAAAAAACAGAGUAGAACUUCCAGGCUGGAAAGAGUGUUAACGUCUUGUUACUCAGCCUGGUUUGGAGACCACCAGAGAGCCUGAGAAAUGCAGGGUCCCAGCCCCCUAGACCGACCACAUCAGAAUCUGUACUUGAACAGAGAACUGCACAGCCAUGGGCCUCUGCACCUUUGAGACCAUGUGGUUCAACUCCCGAUUUACAAAAGGGUUUGAGGGGGCAAUUCAGGGCCUUACCUGAUAUCUCCCAGCAACCAAACCCACCUGUGACUCUCCGUCGGCUUCCUUCCUUCCUGAGCCCUUACUGCAUCGCCAGCCAAUUCUUACGAUAGGUGUGACUCAAGGGGGCCCCCCAAGACCCCUCGGGUUUAAAGAAUCACCCCCUUUCAGGGCUGUGAUACCUAAUAGCCAAUCAGAGUCCUACAAAUGUACAGUUGGAAUAGGCGUGUUACUAUCAUCAGUGCAUUUAUUAGGUGCCGACUGAGUGCCCAGCAGGGUAGUGUUAGCUAUACACUUACUGUCUCUCAUCUCUGCAAUCCCGCGGGAGGACCGAAGGCUCAUUCCCACCUUCAGAUGAGGAAACAGACUCAGAGGGCUUAAGUUGCAUGCUUAAGAUUUUGUGGUUAGGAAGUGGCCCAUCUGGGAUUGGAACUCGGGGGACCAACUCCAGACCCAAAUCUUGCUGCUCUCAGGGUUUGCCUUGGCCUCAGGUGCUGUUGUUUUUAACACAAGUGCCCCAGGAAGAGGAAGUGUGAGACCCCCAGCUUCUUACGGGGACCCAAGAAGUGCCAUCAUAAAAGGCAGCUUGAAUUGAUGAAGGAAAAGGAUGAGAGAAGAGAAUACAACUCUUGUCAUCCAACCCGCCUGGGUAAAAUCUUUGUAAAUCAGUAUGAGCCCAGGAAGCAGAUGAGGAAACCAAGGCCCAAAGAAGGGGAUGAACCAGCCGGGGAUGCUGACCUUCCUUCCAUCAAGACUUCCUUCAAGGGUUGCCUGAAUCCCCUUAAGACCUCCCUGGUCCCCGGGAAUGAAAGGAAUGGAAGCGCCUGGGAGAGCGAGCCCCUGCCUGGUCCAGGUGGACCCCGGUGCACCUGUCUCGGGGCUGCCCCGGGCCAGUGAUACCUCCCUCAGGAAGAGCCAUGGGGGCCCUUUCCUCCCUGUUCCCAUCUAGUCAGACGCAUCCGUCGUUUGCUAGAAGGAAGCCGCUCAGCCAGCCACCUCUCCACCAUCCUCCUGGGACAUGACAGGUCUGUGGCGCUGUCUGGGUGUGCGGAGGGACUGAGAAGCAGAGCCCGUGCGCCCAACUCCAAGCCCCAGGACCACAUCGAGGCCACCCAGAUGGGGCUCCAAAGCACAGUGAGACUUGGAGCACAGCCCCUCCUCGUGACCCCUCGUGAUCCCUCUUCAUGGGACAGUCUGUCACUUUCCAUCAAGUGGGAGAGAGGAUGGGGACAUAAGUGAGCUCACUACCAUUUAACAAAUCAGUUGUUUUUUGUG